AGAGUUUGAUCCUGGCUCAGAGUGAACGCUGGCGGCGUGCCUAAUACAUGCAAGUCGAACGAUGAAGCUUCUAGCUUGCUAGAAUGCUGAUUAGUGGCGCACGGGUGAGUAACGCAUAGGUUAUGUGCCUCUUAGUUUGGGAUAGCCAUUGGAAACGAUGAUUAAUACCAGAUACUCCCUACGGGGGAAAGAUUUAUCGCUAAGAGAUCAGCCUAUGUCCUAUCAGCUUGUUGGUAAGGUAAUGGCUUACCAAGGCUAUGACGGGUAUCCGGCCUGAGAGGGUGAACGGACACACUGGAACUGAGACACGGUCCAGACUCCUACGGGAGGCAGCAGUAGGGAAUAUUGCUCAAUGGGGGAAACCCUGAAGCAGCAACGCCGCGUGGAGGAUGAAGGUUCUAGGAUUGUAAACUCCUUUUGUUAGAGAAGAUAAUGACGGUAUCUAACGAAUAAGCACCGGCUAACUCCGUGCCAGCAGCCGCGGUAAUACGGAGGGUGCAAGCGUUACUCGGAAUCACUGGGCGUAAAGAGCGCGUAGGCGGGAUAGUCAGUCAGGUGUGAAAUCCUAUGGCUUAACCAUAGAACUGCAUUUGAAACUACUAUUCUAGAGUGUGGGAGAGGUAGGUGGAAUUCUUGGUGUAGGGGUAAAAUCCGUAGAGAUCAAGAGGAAUACUCAUUGCGAAGGCGACCUGCUGGAACAUUACUGACGCUGAUUGCGCGAAAGCGUGGGGAGCAAACAGGAUUAGAUACCCUGGUAGUCCACGCCCUAAACGAUGGAUGCUAGUUGUUGGAGGGCUUAGUCUCUCCAGUAAUGCAGCUAACGCAUUAAGCAUCCCGCCUGGGGAGUACGGUCGCAAGAUUAAAACUCAAAGGAAUAGACGGGGACCCGCACAAGCGGUGGAGCAUGUGGUUUAAUUCGAAGAUACACGAAGAACCUUACCUAGGCUUGACAUUGAGAGAAUCCGCUAGAAAUAGUGGAGUGUCUGGCUUGCCAGACCUUGAAAACAGGUGCUGCACGGCUGUCGUCAGCUCGUGUCGUGAGAUGUUGGGUUAAGUCCCGCAACGAGCGCAACCCCCUUUCUUAGUUGCUAACAGGUCAUGCUGAGAACUCUAAGGAUACUGCCUCCGUAAGGAGGAGGAAGGUGGGGACGACGUCAAGUCAUCAUGGCCCUUACGCCUAGGGCUACACACGUGCUACAAUGGGGUGCACAAAGAGAAGCAAUACUGCGAAGUGGAGCCAAUCUUCAAAACACCUCUCAGUUCGGAUUGUAGGCUGCAACUCGCCUGCAUGAAGCUGGAAUCGCUAGUAAUCGCAAAUCAGCCAUGUUGCGGUGAAUACGUUCCCGGGUCUUGUACUCACCGCCCGUCACACCAUGGGAGUUGUGUUUGCCUUAAGUCAGGAUGCUAAAUUGGCUACUGCCCACGGCACACACAGCGACUGGGGUGAAGUCGUAACAAGGUAACCGUAGGUGAACCUGCGGUUG
rnacentral:rRNA from 1 species